rnacentral:rRNA from 1 species
AUACGGAGGGUGCAAGCGUUAUCCGGAUUUAUAGGGUUUAAAGGGUCCGUAGGCGGAUCUGUAAGUCAGUGGUGAAAUCUCAUAGCUUAACUAUGAAACUGCCAUUGAUACUGCAGGUCUUGAGUAAGGUAGAAGUAGCUGGAAUAAGUAGUGUAGCGGUGAAAUGCAUAGAUAUUACUUAGAACACCAAUUGCGAAGGCAGGUUACUAUGUCUUAACUGACGCUGAUGGACGAAAGCGUGGGGAGCGAACAGGAUUAGAAACCCUAGUAGUCC